rnacentral:tRNA from 1 species
GGCGGUAUAGCUCAGUGGUAGAGCAUUCGACUGCACAUCGAGAGAUUCCCGGUUCAAACCCGGAUGCUCCCU